rnacentral:rRNA from 1 species
UACGUAGGGUGCGAGCGUUGUCCGGAAUUACUGGGCGUAAAGAGCUCGUAGGUGGUUUGUCGCGUUGUUCGUGAAAACUCACAGCUUAACUGUGGGCGUGCGGGCGAUACGGGCAGACUGGAGUACUGCAGGGGAGACUGGAAUUCCUGGUGUAGCGGUGGAAUGCGCAGAUAUCAGGAGGAACACCUGUGGCGAAGGCGGCCGUCUGGGCCGACCCUGACGCUGAGGCGCGAAGGCGUGGGGAGCGAACGGG